GAUGAACGCUGGCGGCGUGCCUAAUACAUGCAAGUCGAGCGAACAGAUGAGGAGCUUGCUCCUCUGACGUUAGCGGCGGACGGGUGAGUAACACGUGGAUAACCUACCUAUAAGACUGGGAUAACUUCGGGAAACCGGAGCUACUACCGGAUAAUAUAUUGAACCGCAUGGUUCAAUAGUGAAAGACGGUUUUGCUGUCACUUAUAGAUGGAUCCGCGCCGCAUUAGCUAGUUGGUAAGGUAACGGCUUACCAAGGCAACGAUGCGUAGCCGACCUGAGAGGGUGAUCAGCCACACUGGAACUGAGACACGGUCCAGACUCCUACGGGAGGCAGCAGUAGGGAAUCUUCCGCAAUGGGCGAAAGCCUGACGGAGCAACGCCGCGUGAGUGAUGAAGGUCUUCGGAUCGUAAAACUCUGUUAUUAGGGAAGAACAAAUGUGUAAGUAACUAUGCACGUUUUGACGGUACCUAAUCAGAAAGCCACGGCUAACUACGUG
rnacentral:rRNA from 1 species